ensembl:snoRNA
UAUCUCUGACCUGGGUAGAGCAGCAUCUGCUUGGUGGUGCCCAUCUCAUAUCAGCCAGCGAUACAGCAAUCCCUUGUUUAUCCCUUGGCCUUUGGUCUGUACCCAUGCCUGGUUCAUGUGUGGAAAAUAUGG